AUGCCGUCGUGGUGGAAGCGCUCCAAGACCGCCUUCCACCGCUCCGCCACCACCGCCUCCUCCGCCCCGGCCUCCCCCGCGCGGGCGUCCACCUCGCGCUCACAGCCGCGACGCGCGGGGUCCGAAGACGCCGGGGACCUCCUCCUCGCGCGGCCACACCGCCAGCCGCGGCAGCUCACGCGACAGCGGAAGCUGCGCCACGUCUACGAUAUCGACGCGCUGCUCGCCGACCUCGGCAUCGACGUCGCGUCCUCCUCCUCGCCGCCGCACGCCAGGGGGCGCGCCUCCGCAUCCGAUGCCGUCGGGCUCGGUCCCCCGAUCUCGAGGUCCUCCAACGCCGCGGACGGGGUGGUAGCUCCGCCUCCGAGGUCCGCGUCGUCCCCCGUGUUGCACCCGCUGCCGUUGCCGUCACCCUCACCGAAGCCCCUCGCAGAGCUGGAGACGACGGACCCGGCGGGGGUCGCGGAAGGCGGGAACGAGAGGGCGUCUUUGCAAAUACCGAGGGUGACAGGUCAGACUGUGCAAAAGUUCCCUGAACAUAAUGAUUUCUGCUCAAAUGGUACAAAGCGGCCUAUCUCUAGUCACCACCGAAAAGCACUCCAUGACAAGUUCCAGGAUAAGAGUUCAACUGAAACAGGGAACUUCCGUUUGAACAUUCCAACUAGAAGUGCUCCAACCAGUGGAUUUUCCAGUCCCGUAGGCAGCCCUCGAAGAUUGAGCAAUGCUGACGUCUCAUCUACUGUGGCAUCUUCUCAUGCUCCUCAAGCAUGGUCAGCUCCAUCGAUCCACACUAUUGAUUUUCUGGGAGCUUUAUCUCCUCGGACUUCGCCUGAAAAACUUACAGGGGCUUCAGAGCCAUCUCCUUACUCUAGUACAUUCAGAAGUCCUAUUCUUAUGCCAAGGAAUACCAGUGCCCCUCCAUCGCCACUCCCAAAGUUAUUCCCAGAAAACCAAAUUUCACGUACUGAAGUCAAUGGAGGUGUUAGUUUGCAUCCAUUACCACUUCCUCCUAGUGCUAUAAGCCCAAUGCAAACAUCUUUCAGCAACCAGCCUGCUCCAAAAGUUGAAAUGCCUUCGGUGUCUUGUCAGUGGCAAAAAGGAAAACUUCUAGGUAGUGGUACAUUUGGCUGUGUAUAUGAAGCUACCAAUAGGAACACUGGAGCUCUUUGUGCAAUGAAAGAGGUUAACAUAAUUCCUGAUGAUGCUAAAUCUGCCGAGUCGUUGAAUCAACUGGAGCAGGAAAUAAAGUUCCUAAGUCAAUUUAAACAUGAAAACAUAGUUCAGUAUUAUGGCAGUGACACUAUUGAAGAUCGUUUCUACAUUUACCUGGAAUAUGUACAUCCGGGUUCGAUUAAUAAGUAUGCCAAACAACAUUAUGGAGCAAUAACAGAAUCAGUUGUCCGUAACUUCACCCGACAUAUUCUUAGAGGCCUAGCUUUUUUGCAUGGCCAAAAGAUUAUGCAUAGGGAUAUCAAAGGAGCAAAUCUGCUAGUUGAUAUCAAUGGUGUAGUGAAAUUGGCCGAUUUUGGAAUGGCCAAGCAUUUAAGUACUGCAGCCCCAAAUCUUUCAUUGAAGGGAACACCAUACUGGAUGGCCCCAGAGAUGGUUCAGGCUACACUAGCUAAAGAUGUAGGAUAUGAUCUUGCUGUUGAUAUCUGGAGUCUUGGUUGCACCAUCAUUGAGAUGUUCGAUGGAAAACCUCCUUGGAGUGAUCUUGAAGGGAUGCAGCCAUGUGAUUGCUCACUGAAUUUGCGAAAUUGGCAUGCAAAUAAAUGCAUGAUAUUCUCAAAGAAAAGGUCUAUGUUACAAUAUCCUGCUGCAAUGUUUAAGGUUUUGCAUAAAGACCCACCAAUUCCUGAGAAUUUAUCCCUAGAGGGAAAAGAUUUUCUGCAAUGCUGUUUCAAGAGGAAUCCAGCAGAGAGGCCGACCGCAAGUGAGUUGUUGGACCAUCCAUUUAUCCGGAAUUCAAGUCACUACAGCAAACAUGGUUCCAUACAUGCGUUUGCGGGGAUUAAAGUCCAUGAUAACGGAUACGGUUCCAGGGACAAAACAUCCUCCAAGAGUGAACCAUAUGUGAAAGGAAGAAAUACUAUUGGUGAACCAAACAAUUCUAGGCCAUUCGAAUCGUCAGCCUUUCGACUGACGCCACUAACAAUCCAGGAAGUCGCACCUAGUUUCGCCCCUCAACCGUUUGGUUUAGCCUCCAACCCUGGUUCCUUUGCCAUCUCAACGAACCCCAUGCAUUUUCCGAUGGCGAACCCUCAGCCUAGCCCACUGCCAAGGCCCAAUGGAAAGGAGGUUCUCUUCUAA
rnacentral:rRNA from 1 species